GACGAACCGAGCGAACGUUGUUCGGAAUCACUGGGCUUAAAGGGCGCGUAGGCGGACUAUCAAGUCUGGGGUGAAAUCCCGCGGCUCAACCGUGGAACUGCCUCAGAUACUGACGGUCUCGAGGGAGGUAGGGGCAUGCGGAACUGUAGGUGGAGCGGUGAAAUGCGUUGAUAUCUACAGGAACUCCGGUGGCGAAAGCGGCGUGCUGGACCUCUUCUGACGCUGAGGCGCGAAAGCGUGGGGAGCAAACAGG
rnacentral:rRNA from 1 species